ensembl:lncRNA
GUUCUGACCAUGCCUGUGGCCAGCUGGGAAAACAUGAGCAGAACUAGGUUUUCAUAUUUUUAUGAUUAUCUCUUUUUGUCUACACAGGUGAACAUACAAAACUUACGCUCACUCUUGAGUCUGACUAUAACCAAGACAGUACCAUUGAGCUCAAAAUUAAGUCCACCGUGACCUUCCACUGCAUAACCAAGUCCCACCCAGUGACCUCUUAUCACUGGACUUUCAACGGCAGCAGUCUGGACCACACAGGGGAUCAGCUCACCCUACACAAUGUGUCCUGGGCCCACCAGGACAUGCUCCUCUCACUACAAGCAGGCCCAAGCCUCCAGCUCAGCUAAGAUCAUCCUUAGAGUGGUAGAUUCUCAGGAUUCUUCUGGACCCUCACCAUCUAGGGAAGUCAACCUCAUCUUCCUCAUUGUGACUGCUGUCCUGGCUGGACUGGUGAUAGCUGAGGGUGUGGGCUGUAUUCUGUUUAUUAGGAAUAUCCAAAGGUAACCAUGUUUCCUCUAUUGCUUACCUGUUUAGCAGCAGAUCACCAACCAAGGGUGUGGUCAGUCAUCACCCCUGACCCUACCACCAAGGGAGGACUGGCCACUGCAAAGACAGGUUAGGGUAGAGGCCCUAACAUCAGCAGAAACAAUGUUGGUCCCUCUGGUAGAGUACAUCAUGGAGAGGAAAGCUGGUAGUGGUGAGAACAUAGCGAUCUUGGAAAGACUGGUACCACAUUGUCAUGGUGGGCCACAUCAUGGUAGGGAGGGCUAUGGGGUGAUAACCUGACAGCAGACCAUAGUCAUAAAGCAUGUAAAUGGCAAGUGGGGUCUGUGUCCAGGGGAAGCAACAGGAUCCGAGAGCGACAGAACUGAAGGGCAGAGAGAUGGCUGGGUGGUCUGUGGUGCAGAGAAGCAAGCAGGAUGAAGUAAUGGUCGCUCAAAUGGUUCUGAAGCAGGGGAGCAAGCAGUUCAUACUUAUCAGAGGUCAAGAAUCCCAGGAGUGAGGAGCAUCAGAGGUUAGAAGUAACAGAGCUCGAACAAGCAGCAGAUCUGGGAGGUACACGGAGAACAGUCAUCCAGGAACUCAGAUACUUCAGUAUCUAACCUCGUAUCUAACUCUACGAAGAUGUUUCUGUGUCUAACUCUCCACAGGUGCUUCUGUAUCUAAGGCAAAAACAAAUCCCCCAAAUGUUGCUGUGACGUGCUGGAGCCAUUUCUACCGGCUACAGAGCUGAUUGUUAAAUUUUCAGCUUCAGAAUUUACGCGUUGGAAAUUGGCAAAUGCCAACCAGGGCUUGAUUUCUUGCGCUGUUGACUGUUGAUUGUCUUAGACUUAAGAAAUAGAUGGAUGUAAAAAAAAAAGAAAUAGAUGGAUAAAAUCUUAAUAAUAAUGGAAAUCAAACUUUAGAAAUGUGUCCUGCAUGCAUUUGUUUUCAGAGCCAGUAGUUAAACAUUUACCAACAAUCCCUUGCCCACAUCCUUCCUGUGAUGCCUGUGAAUAUGGGCAACCCAACAUCUUAAGAUUGGCUCCUACUUUGAGGCAAUGUGGAAUGAGCUCUAGACUUGGAGAGCCAACCACUUACGAGCUGUGUGGCCAUGAGCACCACCGUCUUUCCCCUCUCUGAGCCUUCAUGUCCCCAUGUGGAAAGGAAGGAGGUUGGGGCCUCCUUUGGGACAUGGUCUCUAGAACCUCCUUCUGAUGAUCCCCAGGAUGAACCAGUCCUAAAAAGUCACUAACUCAGGGAUUUUCCCUACUCUUCCCUUUCAGGGCUUCACAGAAACAGCUGGAAGCUGUACAACCAGGUGAGGAGAGUCAUGCAGUCAGGAUCCAAAGUGAGUAUUGCUAACCGUAGUAAAGGAAGUCAAAGCAACUGAGCCAUGGGAGCAGGAAGGAAGCAGCUGCAAGACAGAGUCCUGGUGGUUAGGAAAGGAGGGAACCUUUUUUCCUCCUCUAAAGCAGAACCUCUAGAUUGUUAUUUUAGACUGGCCCCUUAUGUUGUUGAUCCACUAUGGAGCGGGUGAAGGGUGGGGAAAGAAGAGAGAGAAAGAGAGGAAGACAGAGAGAGAUGGAGAAGAAGACAGGGACACAAAAGGAGGCAGAAAGAGACAGAGAGACAGAACACAAAGCAAGAUUUCUCUUCUGUAUUGUGUGUAUCCCUAGUGUGUAGACUUAGUUUACAUCUCUUCAAAAUAAGGGGAUUGAUCUAAAUCAUCUCUAAGGUCCUUUAGUGAAACUGCAUGACUUUGAGUCAGGAAGAAUCAGGUUCAAAUAUCACUUCUGACACUUGCUGUGUGACUACGGGCAAGUCACUUAACUGCCCUGUGCCUCAGUUUCCCCAUCUGCAAAAUGAAGAUAAUGAUACCCUUAGGACCUACUUUGUAAGGUUGUUGUGAAGCUUAAAUGAAGUAAUAUAUGUAAAGUUUGCUCUACCAACUUUAAAAUGCUGAAUAAACAUCAGUGAUGAUGAUGCUGAUGUAGAAGA